rnacentral:rRNA from 1 species
CCUACGGGAGGCAGCAGUAGGGAAUAUUGCGCAAUGGGGGAAACCCUGACGCAGCGAUGCCGCGUGAGUGAAGAAGGCCUUAGGGUUGUAAAACUCUUUCAGUGGUGAAGAUAAUGACGGUAACCACAGAAGAAGCUCCGGCUAACUCCGUGCCAGCAGCCGCGGUAA